rnacentral:misc_RNA from 1 species
CUCCAAUAUAAUGCGAUUCUUCGAUUAUGUGCACACCGAAUUGCCAACGGCAGUAGACCAAUACGAUCGAACGUGACCCGGAAGUGACGCUAUCGAAGCGCAGGAAAAAGAAAAGGCGAAGAAAUAUCGUAGAAAACGAAAGAGACGACGCGCUGAAAGAGGGAAAAAUCGGUGUCCCGCAAUCGGCGAACUUUACUGUCUGUCGGUUGCACUCAAGUGGCAGUAAACACCGAUAACAUAUUAUGAUAUAAAACAGCAGCUAGCCACGACUCGUAUUUUCCAGCGGACUCGUGGGAGAAAUGUUUUUCGCGUGUACCGUUCCGCCAAUGAUCUCUGGCAACGAUCUCUGCCUAUCCACAAGUGACCAGUGUCUAUCCACGAUUAUUUGCAUAUCCCAUGCAUUUCAAUAUCUGUCCGAUGUGUGUAGCACAUCUGGCGUUUCGAGACACGUUUUUUACAACGACGCAUUUCUAUACAAACAUGAAAUCUAAUCUGUCGCACGUUGUAAUCUUUAUCUUGAUAGAAC